rnacentral:telomerase_RNA from 1 species
CGUACGAGUAUCGUGUUUGUUGAUAAACGAAACUACGACCUAACCUAUUCCGCAAAGCCGGAGGCCCCCGACGGCUAUAAAUAAAAGAGGGUAUCUGCGAAACACGGUACGCAAAUUUUUGU